GUCCUUUUUGGCAGCACACAUACUAAAACUGGAACGAUACAGAGAAUAUUAGCAU
rnacentral:sRNA from 1 species